rnacentral:lncRNA from 1 species
ACCACGUCUCAGGUCGCGUGAGGAGGGCAAUCUGCUGCCAGGUUCAAUCAGGUACUAGGCUUACCGAUUUACCAUAUUUCUCGGCAUAUGUUUAGUACGUUCAAACGCUUGACACACGGUACUAAACCAUAAUCCUUAGUCCAAUUUCCACCUCGUAGACAACCAAUCCUCAUGGAUUGUUUUCCACAGACCAACAUCAUUAUACUAUGAAAGUGGAUACAACCAAUUCCUGACCUCGCGCGAGUGCUAGAAAAAUCACUCGACUUAUACCGAGAUCCCUAAUUAGUAAAGCAACUACUCGACCUAGCAUACUAGUAUCCAUCUCAAAGGAAUCCUGGGUUCAUGCAACUAGGGUUUCAGUCAACUCCUACCCUUAAGUGCACAGUACAAACCUACAAACAUUAAGUGUAGUAAAAUAGCAUAUAUAAACGGUUAUGCAUAAAACCGGGGCUUGCCUUCCAAAGCUGGGGCAGGCAGAUUGUGGCAGAACCUCCCAAGGUAUCGGGCCCACAUGCACUUGUCCUUGUCCCAAAGACCUCAGACGGCCAUGCAUGUGCACCAGAUAACUUAACAGGAUCCGUCCGAUUGCCCCAAGGACAUCGGAUAAACCACUUACAACCAGAACCGCGUGAUUAAGUAAUACAAAUCACACACACCAAUAUUUUUGCAGCGGAAAUCUUAUUACCAAAUUUUACAAGUUACAAAAAUUUUACAUUAUUUUAUCGGAAUGAUUACAAAAGUAUAAGUUUGAAAUAUAUGCUAGCUUAAGAGACCAUCCUCAAUAAGAAGUAUAGAAGGGUUACUUAGACUUAUAAGAAGGCCGAGCCCACCGGCACUUAACACCAUCAUCAGCAGCACAAAGCUAUGACCUGAAAAACAACAGGGAAUAAAACCCUGAGUAUGGAAUUACUCAGCAAGUCUUACCCGACUAAGGAAAAGACUCUCAAGGGUAUGCUGGAUAAAUAGGAAUCAAGGAGAGGCUUUAGCAAGAAUCAACUUAGAUACUUUUGCAGAAAUAGCUUACUAAAGUGAGUCCUUACUUUCAACAUUUU